CAGCAGUGGGGAAUAUUGCACAAUGGGCGAAAGCCUGAUGCAGCAACGCCGCGUGAGUGAUGAAGGCCUUCGGGUCGUAAAGCUCUGUCUUCGGGGACGAUAAUGACGGUACCCGAGGAGGAAGCCACGGCUAACUACGUGCCAGCAGCCGCGGUAAUACGUAGGUGGCAAGCGUUGUCCGGAUUUACUGGGCGUAAAGGGAGCGUAGGCGGAUACUUAAGUGGGAUGUGAAAUACCCGGGCUCAACCCGGGUGCUGCAUUCCAAACUGGGUAUCUAGAGUGUGGGAGAGGAAAGUGGAAUUCCUAGUGUAGCGGUGAAAUGCGUAGAGAUUAGGAAGAACACCAGUGGCGAAGGCGACUUUCUGGACCAUAACUGACGCUGAGGCUCGAAAGCGUGG
rnacentral:rRNA from 1 species